AUGUCUCAGUUGAUAGGUCGCGUUCCGGGUUUUAUUUUCGUCCCACCUCGCCUGGGUUUUUUUGGUACCACCUUCACUGGUUUAUUUUCGUCCUGCCUCAACCUACGAAAAGAAACCAACGAAAAAAAAUCGAGGCCCCCUCGCACGAACCAGGAGCGAGGCCUCCAGUCUGCCCUCGAUCGUCUCGCUACGAGGACGAGAACCACGCCCCAGCCGCCGGAGCCCUACGCCGCCGCCGAGAUCGGAGAGGAGCCGCCGCCGCCGACGUUCGAGAGGAGCUGGCAACCACGACCUCCCUCCCCAGCUGGCCGCCACCACCCCCUCCCCAAGCAGCCAUGUACAGCACGGCGGCGCCCACGCGCCUGGCCUAGGUGGGUCUCGGCCUCCCUCCUCCCUUCGUCGAAGGCCAGGAGCUCCCCCUCCCCGACCCGAUCUGGUGGAGAGAGGGCCAGGCCUUGCCACUCCGGUGGUCGCUGUGGCCAGAUCUGUCCGGGGUAG
rnacentral:rRNA from 1 species